UACGUAGGGAGCAAGCGUUGUCCGGAAUCAUUGGGCGUAAAGCGCGCGUAGGCGGCCCGGUAAGUCCGCUCUGAAAGUCCAAGGCUCAACCUUGGGAUGCGGGUGGAUACUGCCGGGCUAGAGUCCGGAAGAGGCGAGUGGAAUUCCUGGUGUAGCGGUGGAAUGCGCAGAUAUCAGGAGGAACACCAAUAGCGAAGGCAGCUCGCUGGGACGGUACUGACGCUAAGGCGCGAAAGCGUGGGGAGCGAACAGG
rnacentral:rRNA from 1 species